CCGAGUUUACAACUCCCAAACCCCUGUGAACAUACCACUUGUUGCCUCGGCGGAUCAGCCCGCUCCCGGUAAAACGGGACGGCCCGCCAGAGGACCCCUAAACUCUGUUUCUAUAUGUAACUUCUGAGUAAAACCAUAAAUAAAUCAAAACUUUCAACAACGGAUCUCUUGGUUCUGGCAUCGAUGAAGAACGCAGCAGAAUGCGAUAAGUAAUGUGAAUUGCAGAAUUCAGUGAAUCAUCGAAUCUUUGAACGCACAUUGCGCCCGCCAGUAUUCUGGCGGGCAUGCCUGUUCGAGCGUCAUUUCAACCCUCAAGCACAGCUUGGUGUUGGGACUCGCGUUAAUUCGCGUUCCUCAAAUUGAUUGGCGGUCACGUCGAGCUUCCAUAGCGUAGUAGUAAAACCCUCGUUACUGGUAAUCGUCGCGGCCACGCCGUUAAACCCCAACUUCUGAAUGUUGACCUCGGAUCAGGUAGGAAUACCCGCUGAAACUUAAG
rnacentral:rRNA from 1 species